rnacentral:rRNA from 1 species
UACGUAGGGUGCGAGCGUUGUCCGGAAUUAUUGGGCGUAAAGAGCUCGUAGGUGGCUUGUCACGUCGGGUGUGAAAGCUUGGGGCUUAACUCCAGGUCUGCAUUCGAUACGGGCUGGCUAGAGGUAGGUAGGGGAGAACGGAAUUCCUGGUGUAGCGGUGAAAUGCGCAGAUAUCAGGAGGAACACCGGUGGCGAAGGCGGUUCUCUGGGCCUUACCUGACGCUGAGGAGCGAAAGCGUGGGGAGCGAAUAGG